AGACCGGGUCAGGUGGACGCGGGGAUAUUAUCCCUGAGGAAAGUCCGAGCAUCACAGAGCAGGAUAGCUGUUAACGGCAGCCGAGGGCGACCUUAGGGCAAGUGCAACAGAGAUAUACCGCAUACAUUCGUGUAUGUAAGGGUGGAAAGGCGAGGUAAGAGCUCACCGGAUACGCGGAGACGCGUAUGCCAUGUAAACCCUAUCCGAUGCAACGCCGAUUGGUUCGGAGAGCAACGCGUCUGCUCGGCGCGCUCCGUUUAAGGCGGCUACAUUGCGUUUCGCAAGACAAGCUUACCGGCGACGGUAAGAUCAGAUAGAUGUUCACCCAACGACAAAACUCGGCUUAUCGAUCCGGUCUGUUU
rnacentral:RNase_P_RNA from 1 species